ACGAACGCUGGCGGCGUGCUUAACACAUGCAAGUCGAACGGAAAGGCCCUGCUUUUGUGGGGUGCUCGAGUGGCGAACGGGUGAGUAACACGUGAGUAACCUGCCCUUGACUUUGGGAUAACUUCAGGAAACUGGGGCUAAUACCGGAUAGGAGCUCCUGCUGCAUGGUGGGGGUUGGAAAGUUUCGGCGGUUGGGGAUGGACUCGCGGCUUAUCAGCUUGUUGGUGGGGUAGUGGCUUACCAAGGCUUUGACGGGUAGCCGGCCUGAGAGGGUGACCGGCCACAUUGGGACUGGGAUACGGCCCGGACUCCUACGGGAGGCAGCAGUGGGGAAUAGUGCACAAUGGGCGGAAGCCUGAUGCAGCAACGCCGCGUGCGGGAUGACGGCCUUCGGGUUGUAAUCCGCUUUCGCCUGUGACGAAGCGUGAGUGACGGUAAUGGGUAAAGAAGCACCGGCUAACUACGUG
rnacentral:rRNA from 1 species